rnacentral:rRNA from 1 species
GAUGAACGCUAGCGGCAGGCCUAACACAUGCAAGUCGAGGGAGAAGCCCUUUCGGGGGCCGAAACCGGCGCACGGGUGCGUAACGCGUAUGCAACCUACCUUUCACAGGGGGAUAGCCCGAAGAAAUUUGGAUUAAUACCCCAUAAUAUUAUUGGAUGGCAUCAUUUGAUAAUUAAAACUGCGGUGGUGAAAGAUGGGCAUGCGUCCUAUUAGCUAGUUGGAGUGGUAACGGCACCCCAAGGCUACGAUAGGUAGGGGUCCUGAGAGGGAGAUCCCCCACACUGGUACUGAGACAGGGACCAGACUCCUACGGGAGGCAGCAGUGAGGAAUAUUGGUCAAUGGUCGGAAGACUGAACCAGCCAUGCCGCGUGCAGGAAGAAUGCCUUAUGGGUGGUAAACUGCUUUUAUAGGGGAAGAAUAAGGCGUACGUGUACGUUGAUGACGGUACCAUAUGAAUAAGCAUCGGCUAACUCCGUG